CAGCUUUGCAGGAGCCGCCACUGGGCCUUCCUCUGGCUGUGCAGCUUCCACACCGGCGCUGGCCUGGAAAACCAGGCAUGCUUUCCCUGGACAAGGUGACGGGAGGGACACAGCCUUCGGAACUGAGUAUACCUGUAUCAUCUUUGACAAGACAGAAGUAGCCACAACCAGAAGGGGUUGAACAAGAAUGUCCUCCCUAUUCAUAACCCCUGAGAGCUCCCGUGCAGGAUGAGCAACUGGAAGGAUGCCUCUCACCGGCUUCUUCCUGCCACUUCCUCCGCCUUCUCCAACACCCCGGGCUUGUUCCACUUUCAAUACCCAUUUCCAUCAUCUUUCCUAGGAAGUCCCUUGGAAUGUGAUUCCUCAAGAAACAGCCAGUCUUUGUGGAUGGUACCCCAGGAUGUAUCUAGUCUGGUUGUGUUCAGCACAGGCAGCUAGCAAUGGAGUUCACUAAUCAGGCCAAGGUGUGCGCUAUUAAAAUACAAAACCUGUUGUCUAUGAUCAUCCCAUCCUCUUUGAUCCUGCCUUAUAUUAAUGAUCCCAUCCUUCCAGUGAUGUUCAAAUGAGUUCAAAGUCUGUGUGAAUAACUAAACGUCACCCCAAUGACCUCCCUGUGAAGCUCCUACUGCUUGUAGGAGUACACUUGGAAGGCAGGUGAGAGGGUGAAGAGUGGAGACUGGGCUACUGCAUAUUUUUUUUUAUGUUGAUGGUUUCUGUCCCUUUAGGCUUUAGAGUACAGAAUGUAUCCGCAUUUACUUUUAUUCAUUCAUUGUGUGCUUCCAUUACGGGUCAAGAAUAUUUCUGGUUACUAAAGAAUAAAAUCCAAUCACACUGAAAGUCUAUUCUCCAGCAAGCACUAAUGAACACAAAGAUUCAUCAAACAGAGCCCCUACCCUCAAGAAGCAAG
rnacentral:lncRNA from 10 species